GAUGAACGCUGACAGAAUGCUUAACACAUGCAAGUCAACUUGAACUUCGGUUUGGGUGGCGGACGGGUGAGUAACGCGUAAAGAACUUGCCUCACAGAUAGGGACAACAUUUGGAAACGAAUGCUAAUACCUGAUAUUAUGAUUUUAGGGCAUCCUAGGAUUAUGAAAGCUAUAUGCGCUGUGAGAGAGCUUUGCGUCCCAUUAGCUAGUUGGAGAGGUAACGGCUCACCAAGGCGAUGAUGGGUAGCCGGCCUGAGAGGGUGAUCGGCCACAAGGGGACUGAGACACGGCCCUUACUCCUACGGGAGGCAGCAGUGGGGAAUAUUGGACAAUGGACCAAGAGUCUGAUCCAGCAAUUCUGUGUGCACGAUGAAGUUUUUCGGAAUGUAAAGUGCUUUCAGUUGGGAAGAAAAAAAUGACAGUACCAACAGAAGAAGUGACGGCUAAAUACGUGCCAGCAGCCGCGGUAAUACGUAUGUCACAAGCGUUAUCCGGAUUUAUUGGGCGUAAAGCGCGUCUAGGUGGUUAUAUAAGUCUGAUGUGAAAAUGCAGGGCUCAACUCUGUAUUGCGUUGGAAACUGUGUAACUAGAGUACUGGAGAGGUAAGCGGAACUACAAGUGUAGAGGUGAAAUUCGUAGAUAUUUGUAGGAAUGCCGAUGGGGAAGCCAGCUUACUGGACAGAUACUGACGCUGAAGCGCGAAAGCGUGGGUAGCAAACAGG
rnacentral:rRNA from 1 species